CCAAUAGCGUAUAUUAAGGUUGUUGCAGUUAAAAAGCUCGUAGUUGAAUUUCGGGGUUAGUAGGUUGGUCAUGCCUCUGGUAUGUACUGGUCUCACUGAUUCCUCCUUCCUGAUGAGCCGUAAUGCCAUUAAUUUGGUGUUGCGGGGAAUUUGGCCUGUUACUUUGAAAAAAUUAGAGUGUUUAAAGCAAGCUAACGCUUGAAUACAUUAGCAUGGAAUAAUGAAAUAGGACGUUCGAUCCUAUUUUGUUGGUUUCUAGGAUUGACGUAAUGAUUAAUAGGGAUAGUUGGGGGCAUUAGUAUUCAAUUGUCAGAGGUGAAAUUCUUGGAUUUAUUGAAGACUAACUACUGCGAAAGCAUUUGCCAAGGAUGUUUUCAUUAAUCAAGAACGAAAGUUAGGGGAUCGAAGACGAUCAGAUACCGUCGUAGUCUUAACCAUAAACUAUGCCGACUAGGGAUCGGAUGAUGUUAAUUUUUUAAUGACUCAUUCGGCGCCUUACG
rnacentral:rRNA from 1 species